UACGGGGGGGGCAAGCGUUGUUCGGAAUUACUGGGCGUAAAGGGCUCGUAGGUGGCCAACUAAGUCAUACGUGAAAUCCCUCGGCUUAACCGGGGAACUGCGUCUGAUACUGGAUGGCUUGAGUUCGGGAGAGGGAUGCGGAAUUCCAGGUGUAGCGGUGAAAUGCGUAGAUAUCUGGAGGAACACCGGUGGCGAAGGCGGCAUCCUGGACCGAUACUGACGCUGAGGAGCGAAAGCCAGGGGAGCAAAGCGGGG
rnacentral:rRNA from 1 species